UGCGUAGGCGGGCUAAUAAGUCAGUGGUGAAAUCUCUCGGCUCAACCGGGAAACUGCCAUUGAUACUGUUAGUCUUGAGUUCGGUUGAGGUAGGCGGAAUGUGUAAUGUAGCGGUGAAAUGCUUAGAUAUUACACAGAACACCAAUUGCGUAGGCAGCUUACUAGACCGACACUGACGCUGAGGCACAAAAGCGUGGGGAGCGAACAGGAUUAGAUACCCUGGUAGUCC
rnacentral:rRNA from 1 species